UCCAUCAGAAAAGACAUCUUGCUCUAAAGUCUCUCCUGAUGUUAAUCUCCUAAUAGCUUGGUUUCCCUCCACCCCAUUGAUUCAUCGGUCCAAUCAUUCUUCAGAUUUGAACAGGGGUAGGGGGAAGCGCUUUCCCAUCUGCAACAGAAAUCCCUGUGCUGGUUCUCUGCCUGUUACCAUCAGAGGCCGACGGGUUAGUACUUGAUAAAAGGGAAGAGCCCCAAACUGCCCCUGCCUAAGGACAGCGUGUGGAGAGAGGCACUGGAAGUGUACGCACAGGGAUGAACACGCCUGCAAAGCGGUGCCUUCCAAAGGGGGACAGCCCAGCUCCAGCUCGAGUAAUUAAAGGCAUCAGAGGCACAGGUAGUGUUUGCCCACGGUUGUGGUCUGUCUCCAUCAGUGCCUGCACCUUCUGACCCAGGGGGCAGGUGCCAUCGGCCGGUCUGUGCUCCUGACAGCUGCACGCCAGCCCCCCGCCACGCUGCUGCUCUGGCCUCUCACAUUGCAAACUGUCCAGAAGAACAACCGCUUCUACACGGGCUUGCGAGGUUGCCCAAGAAAAAAAAAAUCGAGAAGCUAAAAUAGUCUCUGCUAUAUUUCCACUGAGCAGCACAGAGCUUUGUCAAAGAUAUUUGCUGGGGAAAGAAAGAUCCUCUGCUAACAGAGCAUGAAGAUUGCAUUUUCAAAUGCAGGAAGCCAGGUGAUGUACAAGUUGGUGACCACAGUUUAAACUGCUAACUGAUUAUUGUGGUGCUAAGAAUUUGCAUCGCCUCUUUUUGAAGGCAAUUGACAACAUUGGUGAUAGCUCAGUGCGAGUGGAAUCAAGCCCCAGAUGCACAUUUUAUUGUAUUCCGUGUGUUAAAGUCAUUCCUGGAGCUGCUUCUGUAAAAGCCAGCAGAAACCCUGGCAGAAGGUCCUUGGCUGAGAAGUCCAGAGUCUAGAAACAGGAAAGGAUUGCCACGACGGAAACUACCCGAACCUCUUUCACAUGGGGCACUCACGUACAGCAAAAGCUGCUCCAGUUUCUGAUGGCAAGUCCUGAUGGCGUUUGAGGGGGGUAGAGCUUCCCUUCCCACUGCAAACACUCAAAACUACAGGAUGAGGUUAUUUCGCUUCCCCAAGUGAAACCUGCCACUGGUUAUCACAGUGGAUCCAAUGAGGUGUCUGGGCAAUGGAAGAGCUGGAAGGGCUUUUGAAUGUCUCCAUAUUGUGUUUUAAUAUUUAAACAUGAUACCGCCCGCAGACUUCUUGCCCUGAGCAAUUAUAUAUAAAUAGCAAGAAACUCCCUGCCAUAGGGACGGGCCAAUCUGUGACUUUUGAACAACUUCUGCAUCACUUCUGAGUAGUUCAGAUACAGCUCUCAUAACAGCAUUACAUCAGCCUGUUGGCACCAGGGCUGUCUAGCACCGGGGUGGCUGGGCCACUCAAACCCCCAGCCACGGGGGAAAGCGAGAGCGACACUGCGCAGCCCCCCGCGCGCCCAGGCCCUGCGCUGGGGCAGGGUCUGUGGGUGGCUGCUGAGCUGCUGUCACCCCCCGCCUGCAAACCACCCUGCAGCUCUCCUGGGAGCACCGAGGCAUACAGCACGUGCUUCACUCUUGCCCAUUUGCAGAUGUCUGUAAGCUGCCGGUAGAUUUUGGGAGGCUGGCCACCUUGUGCUCUACAGCCUUCUGAAAAUUAGCAUGGAGCAGGUAUUAGUGUGGAUUAAGUACGCUGUGACAGGCUUACAGCAUCAGUCAUCAGCCUGAAUAGGGAAAUGCUCAGCCAAGUCACCUUUAGGAGCAUCAUAUGAUGCAUUUUGCAUCUUCAUUACAGCUGAAGCACCCAAAGCAGGGUAAUGUGUAUUUUAUUUUAAAAGAAGUUUUAGCUAAACGUGUUUCAACCUCAAGUAAAUAAACUGCAGAUUAUCUCCUUUA